rnacentral:rRNA from 1 species
CGUACACUCCUGCGGGAGGCAGCAGUGGGGAAUAUUGCACAAUGGGCGCAAGCCUGAUGCAGCCAUGCCGCGUGUAUGAAGAAGGCCUUCGGGUUGUAAAGUACUUUCAGCGGGGAGGAAGGCGAUAAGGUUGAUAACCUUGUUGAUUGACGUUACCCGCAGAAGAAGCACCGGCUAACUCCGUGCCAGCAGCCGCGGUAAUACGGAGGGUGCAAGCGUUAAUCGGAAUUACUGGGCGUAAAGCGCACGCAGGCGGUCUGUCAAGUCAUGUGAAAUCCCCGGGCUCAACCUGGGAACUGCAUUCGAAACUGGCAGGCUAGAGUCUUGUAGAGGGGGGUAGAAUUCCAGGUGUAGCGGUGAAAUGCGUAGAGAUCUGGAGGAAUACCGGUGGCGAAGGCGGCCCCCUGGACAAAGACUGACGCUCAGGUGCGAAAGCGUGGGGAGCAAACAGGAUUAGAAACCCUGGUAGUCCCAUG